CUGACAGCCGUUGCACACUUCAUUCAAACCAAAUUUUUAAUUAUUCACUUUAUUCUUGAUUAAAAACAGUGAAAUACUCAAGAGUAAACAUUCAAGAAGAAGUUGAUCAUAGUGGAUCAUAUUUUACAGUCACAGGUUAUGUGAAAAAGUAUGUUGAGCCGAGUAAUCUAUCAAACUAGUCAGAAAUGUUGUGAAUCGUUAAAAGUUUAGUGAUCAACCAGAGGGCCCCAGAAGUGUUUGCUAACACGUUCUUGAUCCUCAGUUAAAAGAAGUCCUUGCCAUGUGAGACAAACUCAUGGAUGUUGAUCUUACCAUCAUUAUUACUAUCAAUUGAUAGGAAAGCAACUUUAGCAUCUUCAUCCUGGAGUCCAAGACACUUAAAGAAGAGUUUGAACUCUUCAAUUGAGAUUUCACCAGAUGUAUCUUUAUCAACAGCCUGAAACACAUUUAUAUUUAUUACCACAUUCAUUCAUUUAAAGAUAUUAAAACUCACCUUGAAUAAAAAUGGCAAGAAAGCAUGCACUUUAA